GCAGUCGAACGGUAACGGGCCUUCGGGUGCCGACGAGUGGCGAACGGGUGAGUAAUAUAUCGGAACGUACCAUUGAGUGGGGGAUAACGUAGCGAAAGUUACGCUAAUACCGCAUAUUCUCUCCGGAGGAAAGCAGGGGAUCGCAAGACCUUGCGCUCAUUGAGCGGCCGAUAUCAGAUUAGCUAGUUGGUGGGGUAAAAGCUCACCAAGGCGACGAUCUGUAGCGGGUCUGAGAGGAUGAUCCGCCACACUGGAACUGAGACACGGUCCAGACUCCUACGGGAGGCAGCAGUGGGGAAUUUUGGACAAUGGGCGCAAGCCUGAUCCAGCCAUGCCGCGUGAGUGAAGAAGGCCUUCGGGUUGUAAAGCUCUUUCAGCCGGGAAGAAAACGCAUGGGUUAAUACCCUGUGUGGAUGACGGUACCGGAAUAAGAAGCACCGGCUAACUACGUGCCAGCAGCCGCGGUAAUACGUAGGGUGCGAGCGUUAAUCGGAAUUACUGGGCGUAAAGCGUGCGCAGGCGGUUUGGUAAGACAGGCGUGAAAUCCCCGGGCUUAACCUGGGAACUGCGUUUGUGACUGCCAGGCUAGAGUACGGCAGAGGGGGGUGGAAUUCCACGUGUAGCAGUGAAAUGCGUAGAGAUGUGGAGGAACACAAUGGCGA
rnacentral:rRNA from 1 species